UACGGAGGGUGCAAGCGUUAUCCGGAAUCAUUGGGUGUAAAGGGCGCGUAGGCUGUAUUGUAAGUCGGGGGUGAAACCUUCAAGCUUAACUUGAAGACUGCCUCCGAUACUGCUUUACUAGAGCACAACAGAGGAGAACGGAAUUCCCGGUGUAACGGUGGAAUGUGUAGAUAUCGGGAAGAACACCAGUGGCGAAGGCGGUUCUCUGGGUUGAUGCUGACGCUGAGGCGCGAAAGCGUGGGGAGCAAACAGG
rnacentral:rRNA from 1 species